rnacentral:rRNA from 1 species
UCCAGACUCCUACGGGAGGCAGCAGUGGGGAAUAUUGCGCAAUGGGCGAAAGCCUGACGCAGCGACGCCGCGUGAGCGAGGAAGUACCUCGGUAUGUAAAGCUCUAUCAGCAGGGAAGAAAGUGACAGUACCUGACUAAGAAGCCCCGGCUAACUACGUGCCAGCAGCCGCGGUAAUACGUAGGGGGCAAGCGUUAUCCGGAUUCACUGGGCGUAAAGGGAGCGCAGGCGGCACGGCAAGUCUGAUGUGAAAACCCAGGGCUCAACUCUGGGACUGCAUUGGAAACUGCCGGGCUGGAGUGUCGGAGGGGUAAGCGGAAUUCCUAGUGUAGCGGUGAAAUGCGUAGAUAUUAGGAGGAACACCAGUGGCGAAGGCGGCUUACUGGACGACUACUGACGCUGAGGCUCGAAAGCGUGGGGAGCAAACAGGAUUAGAUACCCGCGUAC